UACAGAGGUCUCAAGCGUUGUUCGGAUUCAUUGGGCGUAAAGGGUGCGUAGGUGGCGCUGUAAGUCGGGUGUGAAAUUUCGGAGCUUAACUCCGAAACUGCAUUCGAUACUGCCGUGCUUGAGGACUGGAGAGGAGACUGGAAUUUACGGUGUAGCAGUGAAAUGCGUAGAUAUCGUAAGGAAGACCAGUGGCGAAGGCGGGUCUCGUGGACAGUUCCUGACACUGAGGCACGAAGGCCAGGGGAGCAAACGGG
rnacentral:rRNA from 1 species